rnacentral:tRNA from 1 species
GCCUCUGUAGCUCAGUGGCACAGCACUGACCUUGUAAACCAGAGGUCGUGAGUUCAAUCUUCACAGGAAGCA